GACGAACGCUGGCGGCGUGCUUAACACAUGCAAGUCGUACGGUAAGGCCCUUUCGGGGGUACACGAGUGGCGAACGGGUGAGUAACACGUGAGUAACCUGCCCACAACUUUGGGAUAACGCUAGGAAACUGGUGCUAAUACUGGAUAUGUGCCCCUGCUGCAUGGUGGGGGUUGGAAAGCUCCGGCGGUUGUGGAUGGACUCGCGGCCUAUCAGCUUGUUGGUGGGGUAGUGGCCUACCAAGGCGGCGACGGGUAGCCGGCCUGAGAGGGUGACCGGCCACAGUGGGACUGAGAUACGGCCCAGACUCCUACGGGAGGCAGCAGUGGGGAAUAUUGCACAAUGGGCGCAAGCCUGAUGCAGCAACGCCGCGGGCGGGAUGACGGCCUUCGGGUUGUAAACCGCUUUCAGCAGGGACGAAGCUUUUUGUGACGGUACCUGCAGAAGAAGCACCGGCUAACUACGUG
rnacentral:rRNA from 1 species